UACAUUUUUGAGAAUCCUUUCUUCUAAGUUGAUCACCAUUUAGUAACAGUAUGUAUGGAAAAAAAUAUCUCUACUGCAAAGAAGAAAUAUAAUUCUACAUGCUUUGUAUUUUAAAUACUUAGAAAGGUUGUUUUUAGGUGUUUUUUUUCUCUUUAAUUGAUCUGCAGCAGCAAUCACUCAUAUUUUGUAUUGUUCUUGAUGUCUGUGUAUAAUAACUUGUAUUCAGACAGAACUAUAUUUAUUACAUUUGACAAGAUCCUAGGAUGAUAUACUCCAAUUCUGUUACACCCCUGUUGAUGGAAGGAAGAUUUAUUUUAGAUGGGACCAAAUAAUGCUUAAAUGAUCACCAGAAUGUUGAUUAGUGGCAAGAUGAGGGAAAAAGACCCCACUGUAUUUUAGAUAAUGAGAAUGCCACUUAAUUGUCCCACUCAGAUCUUACAGGGCAUUUGUGUGUUUGUUCACUUUACUGAGUGUUAAGUUUGAUCUUUGGCCCAGUUUUGUUUUCUGCUUUGUUUCCUAGCGCUCCUUGGACUUCUGAACUGUAUUAGUGUCCCACUUCUUUUUUCUUGAUGCUCUUGCCCAAGUGGGUAUUGAGGCCACUGACUUCAUGCUCAUGAACUAGUUUUUCCAAUUCAAACUGACUGUUAAGUUACUGGAAAAUGUUUUUAAAACAAAAAAUUAUGUGCCCUUUUUAAAAAUACAUGUUAAAUGGACACUGUCAAGUAUUUGAUUUUUUCAAGUUUUUUGUUCAUACAGUACCUUUUAGCCUUUAUUUUUCCACACUUUUGUUCACCUUAUCCCAGUUUAUGAUUUUGGUCAUUUGUUUCCCAGGGCACAAUCAAUCACUGAAUCAUCUGCACAGUCACAGGAGGUUGUCUGUUAACACUGGUGCUAAUGUAGCAGCUCCUGCGAUCGCCCCUUUAGGUCUCUGGAAAGAAAGGGUAAUUUGACAAUGUCCUUGUGUUGAGUUGGUGGCUCUUUGGAUAUUUGACAGUGUCCUUUUCGAACUCUGAUUCUGGUGGAAGACUGCGUUAUGUCAACCUGACUGUAUUGCUUUUGUUGGAUAGAAAUGACAUUUUGUAAUUCUUUCCCUAAAUUUAACUUAAAAUUUUCAAAUUUAUUGUAUGGAAAAUAUCUAAUGAUAAUCAUUUUAGUCUGUUCAGAUGAGAGGUUGCUACUCUUUGUCACAAUUUCACUUAAAAACAGAUCUAUAAUUUUUCCCCACUCAACACUCUUUUUGAAGUCAAGUCUAUAUACUCAGCUGUCAAUUAUUUCUGUUAAUACUUGUAUGAAUCCCUCAAAUACUGAAGGAAAGCUAGCUCUUAGUUUUGAUAAUUUCAGCUUGGAGCUUCCUAAGGGAUAGGUAGUGUUGAUUGAACCCUAAAAAUAUUUUUCUUUGUUAUAUUUUUACAUAUAUUUUGUUUGCCAUCUCUGUUGUCAGAGGUGAUUGUCAUUGGCCCUUCCUAGCUCUGUCUUGCAAGUCAUUAUCAAUAUUGUUUUCUGAGUAAAACAUUUAGCAUUUCAAGUCUGAAGGAACUGCAGUGUUGUACAGAGGGACUCUUUCUUUCUAAGAAAGAGUAUGGAACUCAUUCGGAUAUGAGGGAGGUUUGGUUUGGUUGGUUUUCGAGACAGGGUUUCUCUGUGUAACCCUGGCUGUCCUAGAACUCAGUCUAUUGAUCAAACUGGCCUCAAACUCAGAGGUCCACCUGCCUCCUGAAUGCUGGGAUUAAAGGUGUGUGCCACCAUACUGCUAGAUAUGUUUUUAAUAUUAUAAUUUUCUACCAAAUACCAUAGAUGACUGGGUAUGUAAUAGUAUUUUAAAUUAUUUGAAAAUAUAAGUGGAUGUUCUCUGACUUUUUCUAAAAACACUGCAUUUCUUUAAAACUUGGCUUCCUAGAAUUAGAAAGGAAAAUGUCCAAUUUUAACAUCUUGUUGAAUUCAAGUUGAUUUAAAGGCCCAUGGCUCAAGUUGAACUUCAUUUUACCUUAAGCAUAAAAAUUGUGAAGUGUUCCUGGUUGAUUAUAAUGGGAAACCAUGACCUAUGUAGCCAAAGAAUAUAUUUGGUUCAGGUAAAACUAGACGAUUAAUAAUGGACAUUCAUUUUUGCUAGUUUUGAAGAUGGAUGAAGUUUCUGUCCUAUAGAUGUGUAUGUGGAAGUCUCUGUAAAGACUGAGAUAUUCAGCUGUGGUGAUGAUUCCCUCCUGAGUGGGAGUUGUGUGACUGGCGCUAGUCAGCUCCCUGUACCCACUGUGGCCUGCUCUUCACCUGUUCCCAGAACUUCCCGGUUGUGGGAAGGUUUGGAUCUCUGGUCCUGUUUGCAUCUUUAGGCCUCUUAUCUAUUAGGAGCUGUCAGGUGUGUUCUGGCGGCUGAUUUCCCUAGCCUGAAGAAAUUUACGAUAUCUGCACUAUGUACCUACUGGGGGGGGUGGGGGUGGGGUAUCUGACCUCAAGUGUGCUCUGAGCCCAGGUUUUCUCGUGUGGUGUCUUUUACCACGAAAUUAUGACACAUUGCAAAUCCUGGUAUUGUGAUCUUAUUCUCUGUACAAAGAAAGAAGCUCUAUGCCGUGAGCUGUGGUUUAAUGGUCACAGAAUGUCAGCACUGCUAUCAUUCAGCACGUGUAACAUUUUUAAAUUUAUAAAUAUUAAAAUUUUAAACUU
rnacentral:lncRNA from 1 species